UGAAAUGCGAAAAUACGAUGUAAGCCUCAUGGCUGUGGAACCCACAGCUAUUCAAUUCCUUCCACAGGUGACAAAAAGCAUCCAGCCUGCAGCAUAGAUGUGUGAAAAGAGAUUAGGCAGUGUGUGAAAACACUUCCCAUCAGCCAUUUGACGACUUUUUUGAAAUGCUAAUGUCAGCCCUCCAGAGCUGUUAUCUUGGAAUUCACACCUAUUGGAUUCUACAUCCAGGGUUCUAGGCCCAGAAGAUGGGCAAGAUGACCAAGCAGAACCGUGGACAUCAGUGCUCAGCCCUUGGGUGGAGAGAAGCAAAGGGCAAGGGGAAUCCAUGUAAAGUCACUUGUCAGAGUAACCAAGGACUGGCUACAGGAGAAAGACAGUGAGACAUCGUCUAAAAAUAAAGAAAACCUGCAAGCCUAUCCAUAAGAAAGCUGCAGCCUUCCCUUCCGGCUUCGGUGGGAACAG
rnacentral:lncRNA from 1 species